rnacentral:rRNA from 1 species
AACAGGAUUAGAUACCCUGGUAGUCCACGCCCUAAACGAUGUCUACUAGUUGUUGGUGGAGUAAAAUCCAUGAGUAACGCAGCUAACGCGUGAAGUAGACCGCCUGGGGAGUACGGUCGCAAGAUUAAAACUCAAAUGAAUUGACGGGGGCCCGCACAAGCGGUGGAUUAUGUGGAUUAAUUCGAUGCAACGCGAAAAACCUUACCUGGCCUUGACAUGUACCGAAUUUACCAGAGAUGGUUUAGUGCUCGAAAGAGAACGGUAACACAGGUGCUGCAUGGCUGUCGUCAGCUCGUGUCGUGAGAUGUUGGGUUAAGUCCCGCAACGAGCGCAACCCUUGCCAUUAAUUGCCAUCAUUUAGUUGGGCACUUUAAUGGGACUGCCGGUGACAAACCGGAGGUAGGUGGGGAUGACGUCAAGUCCUCAUGGCCCUUAUGGCCAGGGCUUCACACGUAAUACAAUGGUCGGUACAGAGGGUUGCCAACCCGCGAGGGGGAGCCAAUCCCAGAAAGCCGAUCGUAGUCCGGAUUGUAGUCUGCAACUCGACUACAUGAAGUCGGAAUCGCUAGUAAUCGCGGAUCAGCAUGUCGCGGUGAAUACGUUCCCGGGCCUUGUACACACCGCCCGUCACACCAUGGGAGUGGGUUUUACCAGAAGUAGGUAGUCUAACCGUAAGGAGGACGCUUACCACGGUAGUAUUCAUGACUGGGGUGAAGUCGUAACAAGGUAACC